CGCAUGUCAGGAGCCUGUAAUUCAGUGGUUGUCUUUUGUUGCUGUGUUACAUAUUUGUUUUUUGUUUCAUUAUUUUGUACAUGAAUUAGGCCAUUGGUUUUCUAGUUUUAAUUGUUUUUACAUUUGCAAUUUCAGGGCCUUUUAAAGCAGGCUAUGCGGUAUGGGUUUUGCUCAUUGUUGAAGGCCAUAUGCUUACCAAUACAUGUAGUGGCUAAUUUCUAUUUCUCGUGAAGUUUUAUUUCAUUGGCA
rnacentral:lncRNA from 1 species